rnacentral:rRNA from 1 species
AGAGUUUGAUCAUGGCUCAGAUUGAACGCUGGCGGCAGGCCUAACACAUGCAAGUCGAACGGUAACAGGAAGCAGCUUGCUGCUUCGCUGACGAGUGGCGGACGGGUGAGUAAUGUCUGGGAAACUGCCUGAUGGAGGGGGAUAACUACUGGAAACGGUAGCUAAUACCGCAUAACGUCGCAAGACCAAAGAGGGGGACCUUCGGGCCUCUUGCCAUCAGAUGUGCCCAGAUGGGAUUAGCUUGUUGGUGGGGUAACGGCUCACCAAGGCGACGAUCCCUAGCUGGUCUGAGAGGAUGACCAGCCACACUGGAACUGAGACACGGUCCAGACUCCUACGGGAGGCAGCAGUGGGGAAUAUUGCACAAUGGGCGCAAGCCUGAUGCAGCCAUGCCGCGUGUAUGAAGAAGGCCUUCGGGUUGUAAAGUACUUUCAGCGGGGAGGAAGGUGUUGUGGUUAAUAACCGCAGCAAUUGACGUUACCCGCAGAAGAAGCACCGGCUAACUCCGUGCCAGCAGCCGCGGUAAUACGGAGGGUGCAAGCGUUAAUCGGAAUUACUGGGCGUAAAGCGCACGCAGGCGGUCUGUUAAGUCAGAUGUGAAAUCCCCGGGCUCAACCUGGGAACUGCAUCUGAUACUGGCAGGCUUGAGUCUCGUAGAGGGGGGUAGAAUUCCAGGUGUAGCGGUGAAAUGCGUAGAGAUCUGGAGGAAUACCGGUGGCGAAGGCGGCCCCCUGGACGAAGACUGACGCUCAGGUGCGAAAGCGUGGGGAGCAAACAGGAUUAGAUACCCUGGUAGUCCACGCCGUAAACGAUGUCGACUUGGAGGUUGUGCCCUUGAGGCGUGGCUUCCGGAGCUAACGCGUUAAGUCGACCGCCUGGGGAGUACGGCCGCAAGGUUAAAACUCAAAUGAAUUGACGGGGGCCCGCACAAGCGGUGGAGCAUGUGGUUUAAUUCGAUGCAACGCGAAGAACCUUACCUGGUCUUGACAUCCACGGAAGUUUUCAGAGAUGAGAAUGUGCCUUCGGGAACCGUGAGACAGGUGCUGCAUGGCUGUCGUCAGCUCGUGUUGUGAAAUGUUGGGUUAAGUCCCGCAACGAGCGCAACCCUUAUCCUUUGUUGCCAGCGGUCCGGCCGGGAACUCAAAGGAGACUGCCAGUGAUAAACUGGAGGAAGUGGGGAUGACGUCAAGUCAUCAUGGCCCUUACGACCAGGGCUACACACGUGCUACAAUGGCAUAUACAAAGAGAAGCGACCUCGCGAGAGCAAGCGGACCUCAUAAAGUAUGUCGUAGUCCGGAUUGGAGUCUGCAACUCGACUCCAUGAAGUCGGAAUCGCUAGUAAUCGUGGAUCAGAAUGCCACGGUGAAUACGUUCCCGGGCCUUGUACACACCGCCCGUCACACCAUGGGAGUGGGUUGCAAAAGAAGUAGGUAGCUUAACCUUCGGGAGGGCGCUUACCACUUUGUGAUUCAUGACUGGGGUGAAGUCGUAACAAGGUAACCGUAGGGGAACCUGCGGUUGGAUCACCU